rnacentral:siRNA from 1 species
AGGUCUUUGGUUCGAGGAACGCCA